rnacentral:rRNA from 1 species
AUGUUCUUUUGUUAUUUUUUAAGAGAUUUGGCCUGCCCACUGAGUAUUUUAAAGGGCUGCAGUAUUAUGACUGUACAAAGGUAGCAUAAUCAUUAGUCUUUUAAUUGAAGACUGGUAUGAAAGGUUGAACCAGGAAACACUGUCUUAAAAUAAAUUUUUGAGGUUUUCUUUUUUGUUAAAAGACAAAAGUAGGUAUAAGGGACAAGAAGACCCUUUUAAAGUUGACUUAGUGAGUAAUAUUUAUGUAUAUGAUUAUGGUGAUAUUAUUUAUGAGGUUUGGCUGGGGCGGUAAGUAUAAUAAAACAAUAUUUAAAAUAAAUAUAAAAUAGCUUUUUUUAAGAUCCUGUUAGGGGGCAAAAAGAAAAAGUUACUAAAGGGAUAACAGCGUAAUAUAUUUUGAGAGUUCAUAUUGACAAAUAUGUUUGCGA